rnacentral:rRNA from 1 species
ACACGGAGGGUGCGAGCGUUACUCGGAAUCACUGGGCGUAAAGCGCGCGCAGGCGGCUAUUUAAGUUGGAUGUGAAAGCCUACGGCUCAACCGUAGAACUGCAUCCAAAACUAUUAGACUAGAGUGUGGGAGAGGAAGAUGGAAUUAGUUGUGUAGGGGUAAAAUCCGUAGAGAUAACUAGGAAUACCAAAAGCGAAGGCAAUCUUCUGGAACACUACUGACGCUGAGGCACGAAAGCGUGGGGAGCAAACAGGAUUAGAAACCCUAGUAGUCC